AUUGAACGCUGGCGGCAUGCCUUACACAUGCAAGUCGAACGAGUGGCGCACGGGUGAGUAAUACAUCGGAACUUGUCCUAUCUUGGGGGAUAACUUCUCGAAAGAUUAGCUAAUACCGCAUACGAUUGGAGAGGCCCAUGCACGAUUAGCUAGUUGGUGAGGUAAAGGUUCACCCAGGCGACGAUCGUUAGCUGGUCUGAGAGGACGACCAGCCACACGGGGACUGAGACACGGCCCAGACUCCUACGGGAGUAAGCAGUGGGGAAUUUUGGACAAUGGGCGCAACCCUGAUGCAGCCAUGCCGCGUGCAGGAUGAAGGUCUUCGGGUUGUAAAGUGCUUUCAGCAGGGAGGCGUUACCUGAAGAAGAAGCACCGGCUAACUACGUGCCAGCAGCCGCGGUAAUAC
rnacentral:rRNA from 1 species